rnacentral:rRNA from 1 species
ACGCUGACAGAAUGCUUAACACAUGCAAGUCGAUGAUGGGAGCUAGCUUGCUAGAAGAAGUCAUGGCGGACGGGUGAGUAACGUGUAAAGAACUUACCAUAUAGACUGGGAUAACAGAGGGAAACUUCUGAUAAUACUGGAUAAGUUAGUAGUAGCAUUACUAAGUAAUGAAAGGUAGUAAUACGCUAUAUGAGAGCUUUGCAUCCUAUUAGCUAGUUGGUGGGGUAAAAGCCUACCAAGGCGAUGAUAGGUAGCCGGCCUGAGAGGGUGGACGGCCACAAGGGGACUGAGAUACGGCCCUUACUCCUACGGGAGGCAGCAGUGGGGAAUAUUGGACAAUGGAGGCAACUCUGAUCCAGCAAUUCUGUGUGUGUGAAGAAGGUUUUAGGACUGUAAAACACUUUUAGUAGGGAAGAAAGAAAUGACGGUACCUACAGAAGAAGCGACGGCUAAAUACGUGCCAGCAGCCGCGGUAAUACGUAUGUCGCGAGCGUUAUCCGGAAUUAUUGGGCUUAAAGGGCAUCUAGGCGGUUAAACAAGUUGAAGGUGAAAACCUGUGGCUCAACCAUAGGCUUGCCUACAAAACUGUAUAACUAGAGUACUGGAAAGGCGGGUGGAACUACACGAGUAGAGGUGAAAUUCGUAGAUAUGUGUAGGAAUGCCGAUGAUGAAGAUAACUCACUGGACAGCAACUGACGCUGAAGUGCGAAAGCUAGGG